GACGAACGCUGGCGGCGUGCUUAAUACAUGCAAGUCGAACGGAAAGGCCCUGCUCUUGCGGGGUGCUCGUGUGGCGAACGGGUGAGUAACACGCGAGUAACCCGCCCUUGUCUUUGGGAUAACUCUAGGAAACUGGGGCUAAUACCGCAUAGGAGCUCUUGAUGCACGGUGGGGGUUGGAAAGUUUCGGCGGUUGGGGCUGGACUCGCGGCUUAUCAGCUUGUUGGUGGGGUAGGGGCUUACCAAGGGUUUGACGGGUAGCCGGCCUGAGAGGGUAGACGGCCACAAGAGGACUGAGGUACGGCGCAGAAUCCUACGGGAGGCAGCGGUGGGGAAUAUUGCGGAAUAGGCGGAAGCCUGAUGCAGAAACGCCGCGUGCGGGAUGACGGCCUACGAGUUGUAAACCGCUUUCGCCUGUAACGAAGCGUGAGUGACGGUAAUGGGUAAGAAAGCACCGGCUAACUACGUG
rnacentral:rRNA from 1 species